AGCGAACGCUGGCGGCAGGCCUAACACAUGCAAGUCGAACGAACUCUUCGGAGUUAGUGGCGGACGGGUGAGUAACACGUGGGAACGUGCCUUUUGGUUCGGAAUAACUCAGGGAAACUUGUGCUAAUACCGAAUGUGCCCUUCGGGGGAAAGAUUUAUCGCCAUUAGAGCGGCCCGCGUCUGAUUAGCUAGUUGGUGAGGUAACGGCUCACCAAGGCGACGAUCAGUAGCUGGUCUGAGAGGAUGACCAGCCACACUGGGACUGAGACACGGCCCAGACGCCUACGGGAGGCAGCAGUGGGGAAUCUUGCGCAAUGGGCGAAAGCCUGACGCAGCCAUGCCGCGUGAAUGAUGAAGGUCUUAGGAUUGUAAAAUUCUUUCACCGGGGACGAUAAUGACGGUACCCGGAGAAGAAGCCCCGGCUAACUUCGU
rnacentral:rRNA from 1 species